CUAGCGUAUAUUAAAGUUGUUGCAGUUAAAAAGCUCGUAGUUGGAUUUCAAGAAACGCAUCUGGUAACCCAGUUUGCUUUCUACCAGUCUCUGACUGUUACUGUGAGAAAAUUAGAGUGUUUCAAGCAGGCAAUUGCAGGAAUACAUUAGCAUGGAAUAACGAAUGUGUCUACAAUUUGGUUGAUUGUAGGUUUCAAUUAAUAGGGACAGUUGGGGGCAUUAGUAUUUAAUUGUCAGAGGUGAAAUUCUUGGAUUUGUUAAAGACUAACGUAUG
rnacentral:rRNA from 1 species